GCAACUUUGCCAGCGCCGAACAAAAGACUUUUGCUCAGGUGAUCAUUGCAUAUUUAAGCCAACUGCAGGCAGUUUGUUUUCUCCAACACGCCCUGGAUGCAGGAAACUCCCUUGGCUAAUCCGAAAAACACGGAGGUUUAACUGGUUAUUAUUUCCUAGCAAGUGCUUUGAAGUUGGGUUUCCUUCUGGUAAUUCCAGCUUAUGAAACAUUGAAAUGUAGCUGUGGAUUUAUACAUCUGUCUGCAAAGAACAUCCCUUCCACAAAUUAC
rnacentral:lncRNA from 1 species